GUCAAAGCUGCUUCGGAAUGAAUGACGAGAAGAUUGUUUAUACACACGACUGGCUCACACCACCAUAACUCUUUCUGUGACAGCUGUCACAAUAGGAGCUAGAUACGCGGAAAUGAGGUUAUUCGGCGCUGCCAACAUUAAUCGAAACACGAGUCUACAUUUGUUUCAUGUUAAAAUAUGGAGAAUGCGAAAAAUACAGCUUAAAAGAAGUAUCUAAUGUUACUUCUGCAUCGGUGAAAUCUGCAGGAAAGUGUCUGAUGAUUAGUGACUAUUUCGGAUUGAAGAUCGGAAGCUUUUUGCCGUCUAUUUCGAUCGCGCGCACAAAUUCCCGCUUAUUUCGAAUUUCGAUUGCGCGCGCAAACUGUCGCCAUGACUACGAUGCGAGUCUCGCGGGUACGUGAACGCGGCAAUCGACGCGAUCGCGUAUAUUUUACCGAAUUUUUUCGAAUUUAGCGAUGUGAGAGUGACGAAAGUGCAUAGAAUUUGCGAAUUGAAAUGCCGCGAAACCGAAGUAAUAAAAGGUUUCCGUGGAGAACGCGAUAAUAUCAUGUAAUCCGGAAAAUUGUCCGUCGCGCGUUUCGCGAUUGCUGUCCCAAAAAAUAUUCGCGUUGCGACAGAACAUUUAGAGGAGGAAGAGGACUUCCAGGAGGAAUUCAGGAUCUCCUAUCGAAUAUCGAGGAACUGAAAUCUCGUCUGCAGCAGUGACGAAAAAGAAUCCAAUUGCGUCAGAAAAAUAUUUUGGCCAUGAGAGGUCACAGAGAGGCACGAAGACUGUUGGUGAUUACUCGCGAACAUAAACACAUAAACGUUAAUUAACGCGUAAUUGAUCGCUCGUGAGCCGCUGUU